GACGUAGGGCGCGAGCGUUGUCCGGAUUUAUUGGGCGUAAAGAGCUCGUAGGCGGCUUGUCGCGUCGACUGUGAAAACCCGCGGCUCAACUGCGGGCCUGCAGCCGAUACGGGCAGGCUAGAGUGCGGUAGGGGAGAUUGGAAUUCCUGGUGUAGCGGUGGAAUGCGCAGAUAUCAGGAGGAACACCGAUGGCGAAGGCAGAUCUCUGGGCCGUAACUGACGCUGAGGAGCGAAAGCGUGGGGAGCGAACAGG
rnacentral:rRNA from 1 species